GGUAUAGCUCAAUGGUAGAGUGCUUGCCUAGCAUGUGUAAGGGCCUUGGUUCAAUCCUCAGCACCA
rnacentral:tRNA from 1 species